rnacentral:rRNA from 1 species
UACGGAGGGGGCUAGCGUUGUUCGGAAUUACUGGGCGUAAAGCGCACGUAGGCGGCUUUGUAAGUUAGAGGUGAAAGCCCAGGGCUCAACCCUGGAAUUGCCUUUAAGACUGCAUCGCUUGAACAUCGGAGAGGUAAGUGGAAUUCCGAGUGUAGAGGUGAAAUUCGUAGAUAUUCGGAAGAACACCAGUGGCGAAGGCGACUUACUGGACGAUUGUUGACGCUGAGGUGCGAAA